rnacentral:rRNA from 1 species
GUCUACAGCAACAACACCCUGAACAAGCCCGAUCCCGUCUGAUCUCGGAAGCUAAGCAGGGUUGGGCCUGGUUAGUACUUGGAUAUGGGAGACCACCUAGGAAGACCAGGUGCUGUAGGUG